rnacentral:rRNA from 1 species
UACGGGGGAGCAAGCGUUGUUCGGAUUUACUGGGCGUAAAGGGCGCGUAGGCGGCCACCGCAAGUCGACUGUGAAAUCUCCGGGCUUAACCCGGAAAGGUCAGCCGAUACUGCGGGGCUAGAGUGCAGAAGGGGCAACUGGAAUUCUCGGUGUAGCGGUGAAAUGCGUAGAUAUCGAGAGGAACACCUGAGGUGAAGACGGGUUGCUAGGCUGACACUGACGCUGAGGCGCGAAAGCCAGGGGAGCAAACGGG